UAGGGAAUCUUCCGCAAUGGACGCAAGUCUGACGGAGCAACGCCGCGUGAGUGAAGAAGGAUUUCGGUUCGUAAAACUCUGUUGUUAGAGAAGAACAGCGCAUAGAGUAACUGUUAUGCGUGUGACGGUAUCUAACCAGAAAGCCACGGCUAACUACGUGCCAGCAGCCGCGGUAAUACGUAGGUGGCAAGCGUUGUCCGGAUUUAUUGGGCGUAAAGCGAGCGCAGGCGGUCAAUUAAGUCUGAUGUGAAAGCCCCCGGCUCAACCGGGGAGGGUCAUUGGAAACUGGUUGACUUGAGUGCAGAAGAGGAGAGUGGAAUUCCAUGUGUAGCGGUGAAAGGCGUAGAUAUAUGGAGGAACACCAGUGGCGAAGGCGACUCUCUGGUCUGUAACUGACGCUGAGGCUCGAAAGCGUGGGUAGCAAACAGG
rnacentral:rRNA from 1 species